rnacentral:misc_RNA from 1 species
AAGGCCCCCUGGAGUGGUGGGACCAUGUGGCUGAGAUCACAUGUAUGUGUUAAGUUUGUGGAAAUGAGUGUGUGAGGUGUUGGUGCCAGGUUAAAGAAAGUAGUUAGAUGCAUGCAAAGAAACUGAUCAGUAUAACAGAACUAACAUUAACUUUCAAAUAACAUAUUACCAAAUAUCACAACAACACAAUUCAAACUUAUAAACAUCACAUGAAAUAGAAAUAGGAUUAAACAGUCCUUUGCUUAGCCUAGCGUAAUAAUAGAGCCCAGUUGUGUUACCCGUCCAUGAAAAAGAGGGAAAGGUCCUUUUUGGAUGUGCUGUUUGAAGUCGAGUGAAGUGGUCUUGUUGGUUUGUGGCUCCUGUUGUGCAUCUGCUGGUCAGACCUUGUGUCGUGGCCAAUUGUGCUGAAGUUCUUAGGCAGGCUCUCGCGUCACUGCCUUUGGAAGGUUUUAGCAGUCUGCUCCAGGCAGGCCUGCUGGAAGUUGAGGAGCUUGUGUAGGGAGGAAGUCUCCCUGGCUGGGAGAGCAGGGCCAGAACCUACUCCACCAGGAGCGGUCAGCAGGGGAAGAGGCAGAACAGAGAAGAGAGCUAGGAAACUCGGCUUAUAUUGGCCUUGUGACCUCAUGGGUCAUGGGGCACACAGUGACCAAUAGUGGUUGAGAGUUGUCUCCAGGAGCAGUUUUACCACCUAUGUGUGAAGAUGAAGCACCCUGGGAGACUGAGUUCUGGAAGCUCUCCUUUGUCUCCAGAGCAAAGGAGACAUGCGGUCAGGCUUUUGACUACACAUGUAGGCCCAACUAUGGUUCACAGAUACCAGGUCCCAACAUGACAUUAUGGCUUCAUUGAAUGAAAAUGUAUUUAACCUAUCUCGAUGUGCUUCUU